GACGAACGCUGGCGGCGUGCCUAACACAUGCAAGUCGAACGGAGAUUUUUGGAGCUUGCUCUAAAAAUCUUAGUGGCGGACGGGUGAGUAACGCGUGAGUAACCUGCCUUUCAGAGGGGAAUAACAAUCUGAAAAGAUUGCUAAUACCGCAUAAUAUCUAGUUGUCGCAUGGCAGAUAGAUCAAAGGAGCAAUCCGCUGAGAGAUGGACUCGCGUCCGAUUAACUAGUUGGUGAGGUAAUGGCUCACCAAGGUGACGAUCGGUAGCCGGACUGAGAGGUUGAACGGCCACAUUGGGACUGAGACACGGCCCAG
rnacentral:rRNA from 1 species